CACUGCCCCUGGCCCGUGACCCCGCGUGCCUCCUCCUGCCUCUGGUAGGGCUGAGAUCGCACCGUCGCAGGUGAGGGCGAAGUAGAGCGAGAAUGCACACCUGUCCGGAAGAGGCCGUUUCGUGGCAUUGCAUGAGGACAGCCCAAUUUCCAACGUGGACAUCCCAAGAAGGAAGAAUCAAGGACAGUGCACCAAAAGUAAGAAGAGACCUUCUCAGCAUUUUAUAG
rnacentral:lncRNA from 1 species